CGGCAGCUCUGGUCGCCCGGUCAACGGUCCAACACCCCAACCCUUGGUGAGAUCGACACCACUUAUCUCGUCCUCUUGUCUCCGCUUCUCCCCGUCGAAACCAUUACGCGCCCUCACAGUCGUGGUCAGCCAGGACUCGUGUACUGCUAAUGCCAUCCAAGCCCUAAGUGCGUUUCUUGCCGUGAUGUCUUUUUGAGUGUUUCUUUUAUGUUUUUUCCUCGUUCUAGUCGUAUUAAAAGUUUGUGUCUGUUUUCCAACAAACGGCUUUGUCCUCAAUUGGAUUCUCGGAGGCUCUGCCUCAGUGAACCGCGUGAAAAGAACCUGUCAU
rnacentral:lncRNA from 1 species